UGUUUUGCUGCCUUGAUGGGAGGGAAC
rnacentral:piRNA from 1 species